rnacentral:rRNA from 1 species
UACGUAGGGUGCGAGCGUUGUUCGGAUUUACUGGGCGUAAAGAGUGCGUAGGCGGUUUUCUAAGUUUGGUGUGAAAUCUCCCGGCUUAACUGGGAGGGUGCGCCGAAGACUGGAAGGCUUGAGUAUGGGAGAGGUAAGCGGAAUUCCUGGUGUAGCGGUGAAAUGCGUAGAUAUCAGGAGGAACACCUGCGGUGUAGACGGCUUACUGGACCAUAACUGACGCUGAGGCACGAAAGCGUGGGUAGCAAACAGG